rnacentral:rRNA from 1 species
UACGGAGGGUGCGAGCGUUGUCCGGAAUCACUGGGCGUAAAGGGUCCGUAGGUGGCCAACUAAGUCAGACGUGAAAUCCCUCAGCUUAACUGGGGAACUGCGUCUGAGACUGGAUGGCUUGAGUGCAGGAGAGGAAUGCGGAAUUCCAGGUGUAGCGGUGAAAUGUGUAGAUAUCUGGAGGAACACCGGUGGCGAAGGCGGCAUUCUGGACUGCAACUGACACUGAACGACGAAAGCCAGGGGAGCAAACGGG